CCCACCCCUCACAGAGGGGAUAACACAAGGGAGGGCUAGGCUCACUCAGACCAGAGGCUAAUUCCUCUCUUAGCAGCCGGCCGACUACAAACUAUUAUAGAGACGUUUUAUGUCUUGGAAAGGUGUCUGAGAAAACCUGGCUUCACAUACUGUAUUGAGGGAGUGGGAGGAAGCUUCUCCUUAUGGCAGAUGGGUAUUUUUGGCUUGUUGGCUUGUUUUACAUGCAGCGCCUCGAAAAGAGUCAUAAAGAUCUUAUCUAGGCCAAAGAGAAAAUGUGCGCUCAUUGAAAUAUAGAAUUAAAAUAUGCCUCAAUGUGAAUCACAUGCCAAUAUUGUAUGAACAGUCAUUUAGUGCAUAUUUUGUACAUUUGCACAUUGUUUACUGUAGAGUUACAUAAAAUGUUGAUGUACAUCCCUAAAUGGCAAAAUGAUAUCGUAGAUACAAAUGUCCAGCUGACAUUAUAUUGCUGAUUAAAUGUGUACUAUUCUAUUACUAUCCCUAUGACUAUUCUAGUAUCAGAUGUUAUCAAGCACGGUCUAUAUCCAUUCAAUAAUCUAUCCACUUGUGCCUGACAAUCUCUGUCAUUGUGGAAAUGAUUAGUUAACCCACUGCUGUUUCUUUACGUUUAUCCCUGGGGAUCUGUUCGCACAUUGUCUCGGGCUGUCUCCCCAACCAGUGGUCGGCCCCAUCGCCAGCGCCAUGGCCCUGCUGCCCACCCACCAUAUUGAGCAAACAGGACGAGCAAACAGCGGGGAGUGCCUCAGAUAGGUCCCCCCUGCCUCCGCCCAGAGCCCGGGCCGUGAGCAAACACUCCAGCCUGCAGAACAAAGGAGGAUGAAUAAUCGGAGGGAAAUGUCAACGUUUCAUCGUGGCUGCCCUGGCCCGCCCCUCGCACCGGUAACCCGAGAGGCAGGCGGGACGCCUGGAAUAUGGCCCAGCUGGUUCCUGAUGUUGCUAAUUGGUGCAAACGAGGGGGACCUGUGAUUGCGUGGCCAUGAAAACAAAACCCCCAGUAACAGGCUCGUGACAGGGCGGGGGACCCAGGGUUAAGGAGCUGCUUCCACCAAACUGUGACCUCUCACUCAACCAGGACCCAGCGGUGGGGGGCGAACAGGGACUCCGAACAGGGACUCCAACCAGGGACUCCAACCAGGGACUCCAACAAUGGACUCCACAGGCUCUUAUAGAUGUACAGACACAGGGAGAGGCUUUUUACGGACUUACUCAAUUUAGAGUAAUCAUUCUGCCUUUAGGUGUAGACAUGCCUAACAUCCUUAUACAGCCAUAACUGUCACUUGAAGUGAGCUUUUUAUGAUCAUGUAAUAACCGAGGGGUGGUAGACGAAGUGUCAGUGUUUUUAGCUAGACUUUUGCCAAGUAAGUGAUGAUAAGAAAGAUCGUAAUGAUGCUGAUGGGGAUGAGUGAAUACCGCCAGUGUUAUUGAUGAUUAGUCGAUUCUGGAGGAUUGCUAAUUUCCAGGGUAAUAUAGUCACCACACAGAAACAACUGACAGAGCUCCGGUAUUAUCCAUUUGAACAGCUGAAUACACACUGAGGCCACUCACUUUCAGUGGCUGGCUC
ensembl:lncRNA